GUGGGGAAUAUUGCACAAUGGGCGAAAGCCUGAUGCAGCAACGCCGCGUGAGUGAUGAAGGUCUUCGGAUUGUAAAGCUCUGUCUUUGGGGACGAUAAUGACGGUACCCAAGGAGGAAGCCACGGCUAACUACGUGCCAGCAGCCGCGGUAAUACGUAGGUGGCAAGCGUUGUCCGGAUUUACUGGGCGUAAAGGAUGCGUAGGUGGAUACUUAAGUCAGAUGUGAAAUCCCCGGGCUUAACUUGGGGGCUGCAUUUGAAACUGGGUAUCUGGAGUGCAGGAGAGGAAAGCGGAAUUCCUAGUGUAGCGGUGAAAUGCGUAGAGAUUAGGAAGAACACCAGUGGCGAAGGCGGCUUUCUGGACUGUAACUGACACUGAGGCAUGAAAGCGUGGGGAGCAAACAGGAUUAGAAACCCUUGUAGUCC
rnacentral:rRNA from 1 species